rnacentral:rRNA from 1 species
UUGUAUGAUCAAGUACCGAAGUGCACACGGUGGAUGCCUUGGCAAUCAGAGGCGAUGAAGGACGUUGUAGCCUGCGAUAAGCGCGGGGGAGCUGGCAAACAAGCUUUGAUCCCGCGAUUUCCGAAUGGGGAAACCCAGUCUUAGGACUAUCCGUAAGGAAGCUAACCCGGAGAACUGAAACAUCUAAGUACCCGGAGGAAAAGAAAUCAACCGAGAUUCCCUGAGUAGCGGCGAGCGAAAGGGGACUAGCCCUUAAGCAACUUGUGUUUUAAGAGAACGGUCUGGGAAGGCCGGCCAUAGUGGGUGAUAGCCCCGUAUCUGAAAAGGCACUUGUUGUGAAAUCGAGUAGGUCGGGACACGAGAAAUCUUGACUGAAUAUGGGGGGACCAUCCUCCAAGGCUAAAUACUCCUGAUUGACCGAUAGUGAACCAGUACCGUGAGGGAAAGGCGAAAAGAACCCCGGAGAGGGGAGUGAAAUAGAACCUGAAACCGUGUGCAUACAAGCAGUGGGAGCCGUAAGGUGACUGCGUACCUUUUGUAUAAUGGGUCAGCGACUUACUUUCAGUAGCAAGGUUAACCGUUUAGGGGAGCCGUAGAGAAAUCGAGUCUUAACUGGGCGAUCAGUUGCUGGAAGUAGACCCGAAACCGAGCGAUCUAUCCAUGGCCAGGGUGAAGGUUAGGUAACACUGACUGGAGGCCCGAACCCACAUCUGUUGAAAAAGAUGGGGAUGAGCUGUGGAUCGGAGUGAAAGGCUAAUCAAGCUCGGAGAUAGCUGGUUCUCCUCGAAAGCUAUUUAGGUAGCGCCUCAUGUAUCACCCUCGGGGGUAGAGCACUGUUUCGGCUAGGGGGCCAUCCCGGCUUACCAAACCGAUGCAAACUCCGAAUACCGAGGAGUGCAAUCAUGGGAGACACACGGCGGGUGCUAACGUCCGUCGUGGAAAGGGAAACAACCCAGACCGCCAGCUAAGGUCCCAAAAUCUAGAUUAAGUGGGAAACGAUGUGGGAAGGCACAGACAGCUAGGAGGUUGGCUUAGAAGCAGCCACCCUUUAAAGAAAGCGUAAUAGCUCACUAGUCGAGUCGGCCUGCGCGGAAGAUGUAACGGGGCUAAAUCUAGUACCGAAGCUGCGGAUCUCGUAAGAGAUGGUAGAGGAGCGUUCUGUAAGUCUGUGAAGGUGAAUCGUAAGGUUUGCUGGAGAUAUCAGAAGUGCGAAUGCUGACAUGAGUAACGAUAAAGGGGGUGAAAAACCCCCUCGCUGAAAGACCAAGGGUUCCUGUCCAACGUUAAUCGGGGCAGGGUGAGUCGACCCCUAAGGCGAGGGCGAAAGCCGUAGUCGAUGGGAAACAGGUUAAUAUUCCUGUACCACCACGUGAUGCGAUGGAGGGACGGAGUAGGCUAGGUGAUCAGGGCGUUGGUUGUCCCUGUUCAAGGAUGUAGGCAGAGAGCUUAGGCAAAUCCGGGCUCUCAAUGCUGAGAUCUGAUGUCGAGUUUCUACGGAAACGAAGUCAUUGAUGCCAUGCUUCCAAGAAAAGCUUCUAAGCUUCAGUCACGUGGGAUCGUACCCGAAACCGACACAGGUGGUCAGGUCGAGAAGACCAAAGCGCUUGAGAGAACUUGGGUGAAGGAACUAGGCAAAAUGGCACCGUAACUUCGGGAGAAGGUGCGCCGGUGACGGUGAUGGACCUCGCGUCUUAAGCUGUUGCUGGUCGAAGUAACCAGGCCGCUGCGACUGUUUAUUAAAAACACAGCACUCUGCAAACUCGUAAGAGGACGUAUAGGGUGUGACGCCUGCCCGGUGCCGGAAGGUUAAUUGAUGGGGUUAGCGUAUGCGAAGCUCUUGAUCGAAGCCCCGGUAAACGGCGGCCGUAACUAUAACGGUCCUAAGGUAGCGAAAUUCCUUGUCGGGUAAGUUCCGACCUGCACGAAUGGCGUAACGAUGGCGGCGCUGUCUCCACCCAAGACUCAGUGAAAUUGAAAUCGCUGUUAAGAUGCAGUGUAUCCGCGGCUAGACGGAAAGACCCCGUGAACCUUUACUACAGCUUCACAGUGGACUUUGAAUAUGCUUGUGUAGGAUAGCUGGGAGACUUUGAAACCGGGACGCUAGUUUCGGUGGAGUCAACCUUGAAAUACCAGCCUGGCAUGUUUGAGGUUCUAACCUAGACCCGUGAAUCCGGGUCAGGGACAUUGUGUGGUGGGUAGUUUGACUGGGGCGGUCUCCUCCCAAAGAGUAACGGAGGAGCACGAAGGUACCCUCAGCAUGGUCGGAAAUCAUGCAAUGAGUGCAAGGGCAUAAGGGUGCUUAACUGCGAGACUGACAAGUCGAGCAGGUGCGAAAGCAGGUCCUAGUGAUCCGGUGGUUCUGUAUGGAAGGGCCAUCGCUCAACGGAUAAAAGGUACUCCGGGGAUAACAGGCUGAUACCGCCCAAGAGUUCACAUCGACGGCGGUGUUUGGCACCUCGAUGUCGGCUCAUCACAUCCUGGGGCUGAAGCCGGUCCCAAGGGUAUGGCUGUUCGCCAUUUAAAGUGGUACGCGAGCUGGGUUUAGAACGUCGUGAGACAGUUCGGUCCCUAUCUGCCGUGGACGUUGGAGAUUUGAGAGGGGCUGCUCCUAGUACGAGAGGACCGGAGUGGACGAACCCCUGGUGUUCGGGUUGUCACGCCAGUGGCAUUGCCCGGUAGCUAUGUUCGGAAAGGAUAACCGCUGAAAGCAUCUAAGCGGGAAACCUGCCUCAAGAUGAGAUCUCCCGGGCCUUCGGGCCCCUAAAGGACCGUAGAAGACUACUACGUUGAUAGGUUGGGUGUGUAAGCGUUGUGAGGCGUUGAGCUAACCAAUACUAAUUGUCCGUGAGGCUUGAUCAUACAAUCC